rnacentral:rRNA from 1 species
AGUGAACGCUGGCGGUAGGCCUAACACAUGCAAGUCGAACGGCAGCACAGUAAGAGCUUGCUCUUACGGGUGGCGAGUGGCGGACGGGUGAGGAAUACAUCGGAAUCUACUUUUUCGUGGGGGAUAACGUAGGGAAACUUACGCUAAUACCGCAUACGACCUACGGGUGAAAGCAGGGGAUCUUCGGACCUUGCGCGAUUGAAUGAGCCGAUGUCGGAUUAGCUAGUUGGCGGGGUAAAGCCCACCAAGGCGACGGUUCGUAGAUGGUCUGAGAGGAUGAUCGGCCACACUGGAACUGAGACACGGUCCAGACUCCUACGGGAGGCAGCAGUGGGGAAUAUUGGACAAUGGGCGCAAGCCUGAUCCAGCCAUACCGCGUGGGUGAAGAAGGCCUUCGGGUUGUAAAGCCCUUUUGUUGGGAAAGAAAAGCAGCAGGUUAAUACCCCGCUGUUCUGACGGUACCCAAAGAAUAAGCACCGGCUAACUUCGUG